AUCUGCUGCUAUUAAUAUUGGUUGAGAUGAAUUUGGAUUGCCAGCUAUAAACAUUGAUGUGGAUGCAUUUGAAAUUCCAUUACUCUUAAAGUUUUCUCCCCACAUGCCAAUCUGGUGGAUAGGGUCAUACAUACCCAUCCUUCCUGAGGAGACAAACUGUGUAGACGGAGAGUUCAUGCUUUUUCUACUGAUGAUAGAGGUAGCUCAAUAAGCUUUUGAAACAACUUUAUUAAUGGUUUCAGUCAAAACAACAUGA
rnacentral:misc_RNA from 1 species